GACGAACCGUGCGAACGUUGUUCGGAAUCACUGGGCUUAAAGGGCGCGUAGGCGGGCUGACAAGUCUGGGGUGAAAUCCCGCGGCUCAACCGUGGAACUGCCUUAGAUACUGUCGGCCUCGAGGAAGGUAGGGGCAUGCGGAACUGUAGGUGGAGCGGUGAAAUGCGUUGAUAUCUACAGGAACUCCGGUGGCGAAAGCGGCGUGCUGGACCUUUUCUGACGCUGAGGCGCGAAAGCUAGGGGAGCAAACAGG
rnacentral:rRNA from 1 species